rnacentral:rRNA from 1 species
GACAGAGGAGACAAACGUUAUCCGGAGUUACUGGGCGUAAAGGGCGUGUAGGUGGUUUCGUAAGUCUGGCGUGAAAUUUUUCGGCUUAACCGGGAAAGGUCGUCGGAUACUGCGGGACUAGAGGACGGUAGAGGCGUGUGGAAUUCCGGGUGUAGUGGUGAAAUGCGUAGAGAUCCGGAGGAACACCAGUGGCGAAGGCGACACGCUGGGCCGUACCUGACACUGAUGCGCGACAGCAUGGGGAGCAAACAGG